GACGAACGCUGGCGGCGUGCUUAACACAUGCAAGUCGAACGGGAAGGCCCUGCUUGCAGGGUACUCGAGUGGCGAACGGGUGAGUAACACGUGGGUGAUCUGCCCUGCACUUCGGGAUAAGCCUGGGAAACUGGGUCUAAUACCGGAUAGGAGCCAAUUUUAGUGUGGUGGUUGGAAAGUUUUUUCGGUGUAGGAUGAGCUCGCGGCCUAUCAGCUUGUUGGUGGGGUAAUGGCCUACCAAGGCGGCGACGGGUAGCCGGCCUGAGAGGGUGGACGGCCACAUUGGGACUGAGAUACGGCCCAGACUCCUACGGGAGGCAGCAGUGGGGAAUAUUGCACAAUGGGCGCAAGCCUGAUGCAGCGACGCCGCGUGGGGGAUGACGGCCUUCGGGUUGUAAGCUCCUUUCGCUAGGGACGAAGCUUUUUGUGACGGUACCUAGAUAAGAAGCACCGGCUAACUACGUG
rnacentral:rRNA from 1 species